UUACGGUCAUAUCACGUCGAAACACCGAUUCCUGUACGAUCAACUAAGUUAAGCAACAUUGAGCCUGGUCAGUACCUAGAUAGGUGACUGCUUGGGAAUACCAGAUGCUGUAAG